rnacentral:rRNA from 1 species
AUUGCACGCUGGCGGCAGGCCUAACACAUGCAAGUCGAACGAGUGGCGGACGGGUGAGUAAUGUCGGGGAAACUGCCCGAUGGAGGGGGAUAACUACUGGAAACGGUAGCUAAUACCGCCUACCAUCGGAUGUGCCCAGAUGGGAUUAGCUUGUAGGUGAGGUAACGGCCUACCUAGGCAUCGAUCCCUAGCCGGUCUGAUAGGAUGACCAGCCAAAUUGGAACUGCGACACGGGCCAGAAUCCUACGGGAGGCAGCAGUGGAGAAUAUUGCACAAUGGGCGCAAGCCUGAUGCAGCCAUGCCGCGUGUAUGAAGAAGGCCUUCGGGUUGUAAAGUACUUUCAGCGGGGAGGCGUUACCCGCAGAAGAAGCACCGGCUAACUCCGUGCCAGCAGACGCGGUAAUUC